rnacentral:misc_RNA from 1 species
AACGCACGAGACCUGCGGACCUGCGGAGGGAUCAUUACAGAGUUCGUGCCCUCACGGGUAGAUCUCCCACCCUUGUGUAUUCCUUACAUUUGUUGCUUUGGCAGGCCGUUGGUUCGCCAACCACCGGCUCGCGGGCUGGUGCGUGCCUGCCAGAGGACCUCUCAAACUCGGUUUGUUAGUGUCGUCUGAGUAUCAUAAACAAUCGUUAAAACUUUUAACAAUGGAUCUCUAGAUCGGAAG